GUUGGUGCUCUAACAGCGGCACUGACCUUUCCAUAGUAAUUAGUAAGUGCUAUUUGUUGGGGUAGUUUAA
rnacentral:pre_miRNA from 1 species